rnacentral:rRNA from 1 species
CGAAGGGGGCUAGCGUUGCUCGGAAUCACUGGGCGUAAAGCGUGCGCAGGCUGAUCUACAAGUCAGGGGUGAAAUCCCAGAGCUUAACUCUGGAAUUGCCUUUGAGACUGUAGAUCUCGAGUCCGUGAGAGGGUGGCGGAAUUCCCAGUGUAGAGGUGAAAUUCGUAGAUAUUGGGAGGAACACCAGUGGCGUAGGCGGCCACCUGGCACGGUACUGACGCUCAUGCACGAAAGCGUGGGGAUCAAACAGGAUUAGAUACCCUGGUAGUCCACGCUGUAAACGAUGAGUGCUAGAUGUUGGGGGGCUUUGUCCCUCAGUGUCGCAGCUAACGCAUUAAGCACUCCGCCUGGGAAGUACGGUCGCAAGAUUA